rnacentral:rRNA from 1 species
GCGCAGAUAUCAGGAGGAACACCGAUGGCGAAGGCAGAUCUCUGGGCCGCUACUGACGCUGAGGAGCGAAAGGGUGGGGAGCAAACAGGCUUAGAUACCCUGGUAGUCCACCCCGUAAACGUUGGGCGCUAGAUGUGGGGACCAUUCCACGGUUUCCGUGUCGUAGCUAACGCAUUAAGCGCCCCGCCUGGGGAGUACGGCCGCAAGGCUAAAACUCAAAGGAAUUGACGGGGGCCCGCACAAGCGGCGGAGCAUGCGGAUUAAUUCGAUGCAACGCGAAGAACCUUACCAAGGCUUGACAUAUACGAGAACGGGCCAGAAAUGGUCAACUCUUUGGACACUCGUAAACAGGUGGUGCAUGGUUGUCGUCAGCUCGUGUCGUGAGAUGUUGGGUUAAGUCCCGCAACGAGCGCAACCCUCGUUCUAUGUUGCCAGCACGUAAUGGUGGGAACUCAUGGGAUACUGCCGGGGUCAACUCGGAGGAAGGUGGGGACGACGUCAAAUCAUCAUGCCCCUUAUGUCUUGGGCUUCACGCAUGCUACAAUGGCCAGUACAAAGGGCUGCAAUACCGUAAGGUGGAGCGAAUCCCAAAAAGCUGGUCCCAGUUCGGAUUGAGGUCUGCAACUCGACCUCAUGAAGUCGGAGUCGCUAGUAAUCGCAGAUCAGCAACGCUGCGGUGAAUACGUUCCCGGGCCUUGUACACACCGCCCGUCAAGUCAUGAAAGUCGGUAACACCCGAAGCCAGUGGCCUAACCGCAAGGAUGGAGCUGUCUAAGGUGGGAUCGGUAAUUAGGACUAAG